UCUUGAUACGGCAACACAAGCAUUAAAACAAUGACUUCUUAAAUCUUUAUUUUGUCUAUCUGUGUUCACAGUUUGCUUGUUUAAGUCAAAGCUUUAGGAGAUCGCUGUAUUUUCAGGACCAGUAAUUUCUGUCUCAAGCUUACUGUCCUGCCAAUUAUUUCAAGUAACAAAAUGAAAAUCUGUAUCUCAAUCCCUUUAAGGAAAUGCUAGUAAUGAACUCAAGAGCUCCCAUGUUCUAACCUUAGCCUCUAAAGAAUGGUUUUUAUAGAACAUCCAUUUCUCCUUCAGACUCUGGUAUUGCAGAGCCUGGGGUCCAGAGCUGGAUGUCUCACUGCACCCUGUGCCUACCAGGUGGGUAGAUGAGGAGGGAUGCGUAAUGCUCUGUUUCUAAAUCGCAGGGUCAAGGAGCUGCUUGUUGCUCUAGGCGGAAAUCAGCACUUUGCAGCCUGAUAACAAGAGAGCUGAGAUGCAGCAGAUUGCAGUUCCUUUAAUUUUCUUCCAGUUAAUUAAAUGAUCAAUGGCAGUAUUGGCUUUCAGCCAUGGCAGUGCCAGCUGAACUGAGUUCUCCAGUUUAUGAGAGGCUAAUCAAUAGCCAUCAUUUAGAGCAGUGAUACACAUUUUUAUUUGAAAGCCAAAUAUCAAAAUGGAGAAGCAAAAUACUGCUGUUUUCACAUCAAAUGGAGAUGUGCCCCCAGAAUAUCCUAAAGAAGCAGACUGCUUGGCUUUCCAGUGAGAAGGCACCACGGAGAGGUGAGGGGAUCUGCUGCGGAGCCAUGGCACAGCCUGUAGCACAACAUCACACUGGAUGCGUAAGGUGAGCAACUCCCACUGCAACCCAGGGGGGUGCACCUCACCUUUGGUGAGGCACUGGCGCAGGCUGCCCGAGGAGUGGUGGAGUCAGCAUCCCUGGAGGUGUUCAAAGGAAUGGGAGAUGUUGCACUGAGAGACAUGGUCUAGAGCGGUCACAGACAUGGGUUGAUAGUUGGAGUAGAAGAUGUUAUUGCUCUUUUCAACCUUAAUGAUUCUGUGAUUCCCAGGGCUGGAGCAGAGUCCAUGGCCCUGUAAGUGUGAGACCUGCAUCUGGAAAGAGCAAAUAAACAGCAGAACAGGGGUAACGCU
rnacentral:lncRNA from 1 species